rnacentral:rRNA from 1 species
GACGAACGCUGGCGGCGUGCCUAAUACAUGCAAGUUGAGCGAUGAAGAUUGGUGCUUGCACCAAUUUGAAGAGCAGCGAACGGGUGAGUAACGCGUGGGGAAUCUGCCUUUGAGCGGGGGACAACAUUUGGAAACGAAUGCUAAUACCGCAUAACAACUUUAAACAUAAGUUUUAAGUUUGAAAGAUGCAAUUGCAUCACUCAAAGAUGAUCCCGCGUUGUAUUAGCUAGUUGGUGAGGUAAAGGCUCACCAAGGCGAUGAUACAUAGCCGACCUGAGAGGGUGAGUGGCCACAUUGAGACUGAGACACGGCCCAGACUCCUACGGGAGGCACCAGGAGGGAAUCUGCAGCCAUAGACGAAAGUCUGACCGAGCAACGCCGCGUGAGUGGAGAAGGACUUCGGAUCGUAAAACUCUGUUGGUAGAGAAGAACGUUAGUGAGAGUGGAAAGUUCAUCAAGUGACGGUAACUACCCAGAAAGGGACGGCUAACUACGUG